UUCGUAAAGGAAUAAAUCUCAUUGAUUUAUCCCGUUGGUUUCUAAUUUAUUACUUUUAUUUUUGCUCGUUUCGAGUUCGGGACACAGACAACGUCCAAAAUAGAAAGUUUAUCAAAUCUGUAAUACCGAAUUCGCUCGAUAACCAAUUAUUUGGGUAAUACGGUUACACAGGGAUCAUACGAUUCCGUGCGAGCACGCGGUGGGACUCUGCUUCGAGAUUAUUAUCCAAUACGUUGUUAUCAAUCUCGUGUUAAGAAAGCUAAAAUGUCAGUGUACGCUCGAACGGAAUAUCCUUAAACGAACAAAUUUUAUUCCACGUUUUUCACUCGUUUUCACACGUAGAAUAAUCCGCCGAGUAUUACCUGCUUCUACCUGGUCGGUAAUUAGCUUCGGUCACACGUACUAAGUAAAUUUUCAAAUUGAAUUUUAUCGACGACGAAGCACCGCGUAAAAAACCUUUUAUUUCACAUCUUCCAUUUAUUUUUUCAUGGAAUCACUUCCGUAUCGAUCGGCGGAUCAGGAUCAUCGAGACAGCCUGUGUAACUUGCUAAUUUACUCGUACCUUUCACUUCGAUUUCCUCGUGCUCCAACAUCGAAACCGUCACAAAUGGAUUCAGGGACAUUAAAUCGUCCAGGAAGUUUCGAGGGACGCACGUGAAUUCCAUUUUCGAAUUUUCUCGGUCAGUGCGUUCACGUGGUGGCAGGAUAUCGGGGAAUGCAAAGGUCGUUACAUACUGGCUUAAUCAAGAUAGGCGAUAUCAGUGUCGCUGGGUCAAACGUUCGAACAGCUGGUUUCGCAAUUCGCGGCCCUCCUCCUGGAUGGAAUAAAACCGGACAUCGCGGCGGCUGCACCCGCCUCAGCCGCACGAUUCUCUACUACGACCUGGCUACUGGUCCAAGAGACCGGCACGCGUCCAACAGUUGUUAUUACUUUUAUGUAAGAGACGCGGGGCGGCUGGCCUUUUAUCGCUCUCGUUGCGCCGUCCCGCGCGAAUCUUAGAACAAGCGUACAGAAUCAGUGACUCACUGGCAUUUCGAUUUCCCACCGUGGUUUCGUAUGGUAAUUCCAAUAGUUAUCGUAUAAAACAGUUUAAACGUUUACCAUGCGAAACAAUUUGAGCAUUUACCAUAGAAAAUCCUGCAGGCACGUUCAGGCUAUCGAUAUUUAUUGUCAAUGUUGAUGAGAAUGUUGAAAACCUGGAAACAUCGACUGUCCGAACGCUGAGUCUCUGACUAUGUCAGUCCUAAACUCUGUCCUGUAAUUGCAGGUACAAGCAGGAAAUAAAUCGAAAAUAUACCUUGCGAUUUUUUCAUAUAGCGCUUCGUUUCUGAGAAAAUCGAGUUUGAAGAUUUGUCGAGUAUACUUAAACUUGGCUACGUAUCGAUCUGGUACGAAUAAACAGUAUGAGUAACGAGUGAACGAUUUAAGGCCUCAUUUUCAAGAAAAUAGAGUUUGGUUAAUAAGCGAUCUAGUGUACACGCACGAUACAUUUUCAAAUUUAUUUUUCUCGAAAACAAGGCAUUGUUUAUGAAGAAAUUGUACUCUCCGUUUUUGACUUAUUUUCAUGCGCAGUUUAAACCAUCGUCGAUCGUUUUCACCCCCGUUCAGUGCAGAUUUAGCCAAGUUUAAGUAUACUGGAGAAAAUUUCCAACUCGAUUUUCUCGGAAACCAAGCGACUCAGUCUUUCACGUAAAGUCAUCUUCCACCCGGUUAUACCACGCGUUAUCGGACACCCUGUAUAAGACGCGUUCAAAUUUGAUUAAAACUGUGACAGGAUACGACUACCACGAUUAUAUUAGUUUCGCAGCUAAUUUGACGGUGUACGUUCGCAACGUACCAGCUAGAAGUUUCAAGAUAUACAGUGGAAAUGUAUAUUAGUAGAAAAUUAGUACGUAACAGGAAUAAAUCGCGUUGAACAUACAAUUAGAGCUAUCUAUCGUUAAAUAUCGAGGAUUGUUAACCCCUUGCGGUCGGUGUAUUAUUCUGGUAGCACUAUCAACUAGUCGAAGCAGCGUGUAAAUAAUUGCCGCCGUUGUGGAGACAUUCGAUGACAAAGGCUUAAAUGGAAUAGCUGAUCGACUGCCUAAAUAUUUCGAUGUACGCUAACGCGUGAAAACGUAUGUCCGAGUUUCCUACUUUUAACCAUCUUCGUUAAUUACAAACUUUGUCAUUCGAAUCGCAUCGAGCAAACACGGACUCCUGCAACAUCCAAACACUGAACAAUCUUUAGCACUGAACGUUCUCGGACAACGCACAUUGUACAUCUUGGAGCAUUCACGCAGUAGAUAUCCCGCGCAAACAUUGUACAGCUUUAAACAUUCAAAGUGUAAGCAUCGAACAAACACUUAACAUACCCACGCAAUCAGCGUAAUCAUCCAUUCAAGUUGUAUCGAAGUUUAAAUUUCAUUGUCUAUUAAUUAAACACAAUUGUUCGCUUCGGUUCCUCUCUGUUUGUGUACAUCGCGACUGAGUAAUAUAUUAUACAAUUACUCGGUACACAUAGCUCUGGUCGAGGACAAACAAACAACAUCAAAGGCAAAUACAGAUCUGUCACUGCGGAUCGAUUCGCCUGAACGACGUGAACGCGCCUGAAUCUUCACUGGCGGUCCAGCUGUCACUAGUCAGCGAAAUAAUUUAGGCGAGUUAGGCGGGCAGCAGUUUUCGAGCAUCGUACGAAAACAUACGUAUCCGUAAUCACGAAUCCGGAUUCCGAUUUCCAGGAAUCCCUGGUCGAUUUCUUCUAAGCGUGUCCGUGUUUCCUGGUAUACCCUGGCCGGCCAUUGAUAAUCUAAAUAUAAACGCCACGAAGUCGGCCGUGUAGGAGGAAAGCGUGCCGCUCCCCGGCGUGACCUCAUGCGCGAGUUACCACGGGGUUAUCGUGCGUGUAACUCGUGUCCCUUAUCGGUUAUCGUUGCCACGGCGGCGCCAUCACCGUCGAAAAAAUGUGCCCGCCAGUUUCACCGGCUGAUUCAAACACGGAGAACGCCGCUCCCUAAGGAAUCGACCCUUCGAACGUGACCCGUGACCCUUCCUUCUUUCGUUUCCCCUUCGGAGAUGUAUUCUUAUAUCCGGGAUAAGAUAACGCGAUAUUUUGUACGAUUGAUCGAUUCGAAGGGAAGUAAAGAUCGGAGAUUACAAAAAGGUCAGUCUUUCCUCACUGUUUUCGAUUAUGGCAGACGUUUUAGAAUAGCCUACACGAGGCCAGAAGUUAACGAUACUUGGAGGUUCUAGGGGGUUGAAGAUUAUGAAAAGGUUAAUUUUUUUUAACUCUUUUGAAUUGUAGAAAUUUGUUGAUCAGAUUUCUUAGCCCGUUGCCCGUUUAAUCGGUUCACCAGGAGGAGACGAGCCAACUCGUUACUCGGAUUGCCAAUCCCGGCUGCGAAGAAGUCUUUGGCUACCAGGCUAAAAGAGAUUGCUGCACGAAGCUGACAAUUGACGAUGAGAUUGCGUUUAUGAGUCGUAGAACAGGUGCCAAUUUUUCUGCCAGAUCGGGGCCAAUAUCGAGGAGUCACGAACGGACCUGCACCACCUAAAAAAUAAACGAUCUAUUUAUUUAAAAAAAUAGAGAAAAGAUACGUAAAGGUUGUAGCGGCUUAUGAAAGUAUUUGCAGACUUACGGAUACUUUUUACGAAUAUAUCAUGUAAAUCUUUCCUCUGCAAAGAAGAUGCGACAAUGCGAUCACAAGAUGACGGUCUCAAACAAAAUUACCAACGCACGUAUACCUCUUGGAACAGCUAAGAAGAAAAGGCGAACUAACAACGGAGCGAUGAAAAUAAAUAGUGGCGAUGAAGCUUGUUGAUUUCGAAGCUUUCUAGAAUUUCUAACUUCUUGUGGAUCGAAUAAGAAUUGUUCUGUCGCAAAUACCACUUCCAUAGCUGUCGGAAAUAUCUAUCUACAAAGAUGCAGCUGAAAUAAUUUCGCGAGAAAUUGCACGCGUGUACGAAAUGUUGCCGGUGACUGCAGAGGAACAACAGACACAGCUGAAGAUUCCGGUUUGUCGAGAAAACUCACCAACCAACAUGUUUACUUCCCCUUCGAUGAAGUUCUUUUCUAGUUAUACUUACUUUUUUUGCGUCUCGACUUGUUCGGCCUUGAUCCAGAGAAUGUGAAAAAUAUCAGCGGGAAAUGGGACGCAAUACGAUUGGAAGAAUUGUAAACAAGUACAAGGUUCGUCGAACAAUAAUCCAGACCUUGGAAAAUACCAAAAUCAAUAUGAAAUCGAUAAUUCUCCAAAUUUAUCAACUUGUACAAGUUCUACGACGAUUGCCCUCGAUUUAUUUAAAUUGCUCGGUCGAACACCAUCUUUCUUCGCUGUUAAAUAUUAAGAACGAUAGUAGGUCCCGUUCUAUGAAUUUCAUGAACUAUAGUACACUUUUUUCGAUUUCUGCUCGAGCUUCGCUACGAAUUUAUCGAAUAACCUAAUACUAUAUUUUCAAGACGAAAGGUCAAUUUCGUUAGAUAUUAUGAAGGAAGACGGCUGACGGAAGAGGUAGAAGAGAAGCAAGACGCGUGCCGCGAGGUCUAAGGUCGGCUCGUGUACGACCUGCAACCGAUAUGACGAUCGAGGAAAUAACAAUUGACUCGGUAUUAUCGUGCACAAACGUUAGCCACUGAUCCCUCCAUUCUGUUUCAUCGACGUUUCCUUUGAUCCUCGCAACUCUAACGAAGAAAUAUCGUUCGUCGCUAUACAAACUUGGCCGCUCUAGUUUCCGCGCAACUCCGACUACUUUCCACGCACUGUGACUACCAGAAUACGAAUUUUUACGCAAAUUCAUAUUUUUGUUAUUUCGUGCUAUUCAAGAAAUAGAAUCCCGAUAGAAAAUUAUUUUUUAUACCGUAUGUUACAGAAAGCACUGUAUAUCUUCUUUGUAUACUUUAUAUAUUUCUUCAUAUUACGCGCAUUCUGUGCAAUUUGACACUUUCAAAUUUCCUAUGUUUGCAUAAAGAUCCGCAGUCUGACGAUUGCUAUUCAUCGAAUGUAUUUUCACGAUUACAAUUUUCAUUAUAUUUUGUAAUUUUUUUUUUUUCUUAAUUGAAUCAUGAAAGUAUUCGAAUACUUGUAUAAUAAGACUUUAUACGAAUAUGUUAGUAUAGAACAUUUAAAAAUUAAUUAACACUGUAACGAGACUAAUAGAUGUCCCUUAGCGUGUUAUAAUCAUAUGUAUAAAUAUAACGAAGAAUAAGAAGUGUAGAAACUAAGAUGAGAAGAAGGCAACGGUCAAGAAAAGAGAUUGAUCCUGAUUCGAGCAAUUUACAAUUGUUGAUUUCCAUACAAAUUUGAACAAAAGCUAUUUGCAGAAUACUUGCAAUAACAACGUUAUCGUUAAUUAAUGAAAUCAUAGAUAAUUUUAACGAUUUUGCAAAACAUGUGGGAGAUGAAAACUAAGAAUAUUCCAUAUGCCAAGUGCAAAGUAAGUAGUAUAAACCGGUUGCUGUUUUGAUUGACCUUCACUGCUCUAAAUCAAAGUUUAUCAGAACUACAAUAUAAAGCAUGGAAGUUCGAUAUGCGCAAAAUAUUUACAUUAAUAAUCAAUCAAGGAGCCCAGACAAGUCAGCAAAUCGGAAUAUCACGAUCUGUCAAUCUUUCUCAAUUUUUACAUCUCGAUUCUCAUAUUUCAUCGUUAUAUAAUUCUGACGUCUUCAAAUCAUAGCACAAAGGAUUAAUUAAAUUACAAUCACUUCGAUCGAUCCGACGUUUCAAAUAAUAAAACGCUCAAACUAUAUUCCAAGUCAGAUUAUUUUAAUAUCUUAUUCGAGCCCUAGCUUAUUUCGAGUCUCGUUUCAGACUCAAUCGUCUUUGUCAGACGUAGUAAGUCCAAACUUUCUAUAAUUUACUCCAACCUCAUAAACUUGGAAUUUACUUACAUAUUAGAAUGCAUCUACGAUGUCCACAAUGUAGAAUUUACGAUCCAUUUGCAAUUUAGAAUUCAUUUACGAUAUCUACGAUACAGGAUUCACGGAAUGCAUAAUGCAUAAUUCUAGAUCCAUUAAAUAUAUCUACGAUGUAGAAUUUAGAACUCAUUUACAUAUAAAAUGAUUACAAAGCAUGCCGAAUUACAAUAUUCGCAUGCGCGUAUAUUCUGUUCCGCUGUUUUAAGACACAGUUUCCAUUAGACUCGAAGUACUCAAGAUGAAAACAUAGUUCAAACGAAGCUAUCAAACAGCGCACAUCACAUGCACGCGAUUCAUUCAUAGACAAUUAUUGUAAUAAUUCAUUGUAUAAUACGGCCACGAUAUAGCGAGGUCGUAAAUCAAAUUAUGGAAUAACCGUACAGCUCUCUGCAACAUUUUCUUCCGAGAUUUUAUAUUCAUUAGAAGUAGAAAACCUGCAACUAUUAAUUUUUUACUUUAACCACUAUUUUGAUUCAAGAUUCGAAAUACAAGAACGAGGAAGAGGAAUUGUAAUAUAAAUAUAAAUCUUUAUUUAUUUUGCAUAUACAUAUACAAAAAUAUAAUAUCCGAAUGUAAAUUAAUUAUUGGCUCUUAUUACAUUUAUAUUAGACUGCAAGCAUUACAAUCCUUAUCAUAACUAUAAACACGGGUUACAUUUUGUAUUUCUUACAAACAAGCAUCGAUUCCUAAACGAUUAAGAUCCAUUCAUUUCCGCUCGUAAAAUACCAUAACACUGUAUUGAAAAAAGGAUCGAGACACCCCGUAUACCAAUACCAUACACUAAAUCGUACAUUACAUGUUUUUUUAAAAAUAAAUAUCGCUUUCUGAACAAACACGAUUCGAUAAAACGACUGGUACAGUUUUCCACUUUACGAGAAACAAACACCCUGUAAUAUCCCGAGUACACUGUGUAUAUUGAUACCGUGUUAAUUCUCUGUAUAUUAUAUAUUUAUUACUCUGUAUAUUGCAUACAUCGCAUACAUAGUUUUUCAACCAAACAUCGAAGAAAACAAAAUACGUAGAAUGAUCCGCACGUGUCGCGCCGAUAUCAGUAGUAUAACCCAACGCCUGGUCAGCCCGAAAUUCCAAAGACGUUUCGCGAAUCUGUCUCGCGCGUAACAAUUCGCACGUGUCAAAAUACUAUCGCCGAGAUACAUAAUACGUACUCGUUCGUGAUCGAUGCAUACACAAACCGAACCUCGGCUCGUCCUCGUUCGAACGAAUCUGAACGCGGAGGCGCGUGUAAGCUUUAUCGCCCUCCCCCGCGAGCCACGCAGCCCCGAUUUCAAAGUGCAGUCAACAGCAUGUGCACGUGAUUCUCAAUCGAAUCGGACCUAGAUUCGGCACAGCUGCACGACCGCGUUUCCGCGACGCCGCCGGUCUAGCAUUUCUUAGGGAAAAAUCGAGCCAGUAGAAAACAGAUAGCUGGAAAUGAUGGACAGCGAAACGAUACCGCCGAAGAGCGGGCGAACUUAACCCCGUUGCCCAUGGGUUCCACGGGGGGGCAGAUCGAAGUCUAAACACGAUUAUGCAACGUUGUGUAGUCUGGCCGACAGUGUUAUUAUCGAUUGGUAGAUUGCUAUUGUAUUAUAUGUUUAUGUAUCUUUGACAAAAUUCAGCAUACGAAAACCUACAAAGUGCACAGAUACGGCAGUGCAAAGAUACAGUUGGGGUCAAAAAUAAGUGCACACUUAGUGAAAAUAGAUAAAUAGACGAUGUUUUUCCAAAUACAACUUGUUUACGCAAAAAUGUAAAUAUUAAUUUGAAUUAUUCGCUGCGCGAUCUAUGUACUGUGAGACAUAUAACAUAUAAAACUUUGAUAUACAGGGUGCGGGCAAAAUUGUAUCGCACAUUUUUUACUUAUUUUCCCAUAUAGAAUGACAUCAGAUAGAUCGUUUACUUGUAUCCAGUCGAUAAUUAGGCACGUUCGAGUAUACUAGAUAAAUUUUCAAAUUCGAAUUUGUAGGAAAUCGUGCCUCCGAGGAAAAUAUCUUCUUAUUUUUGCCUAAGGAAUCAUCUCGUUCCCGCUUGUACAUAACUUUCGAUCGUAGCUUGUAUAACGCUAGUGUCAGUUCGAUUAAACUUUAUCGAUAGCUCCACCACCUGUCCGCUUAUUUUUCUUCCCGAUUGUAUAAAUUGUUUUAAAAUGUCGAGGACGAACUUUUGGAAACGUGUAGUACUCGUCAAAAUUAGCGGUAAGGUCUUGACAAACACGAGACGUUCUCUACUUCAAGAAGAAUUUACACGCAACGAUUCGCGAAAGGUGACGCGAACGUGGUGGCCUGUGACAUGGUCGUCUUGUUCACCCCAUUUAAGUCUCUUAUCUGUGGUGACAUGUAAAAACUAUGGAGAAUAGUAAUUCAGUUGCUUCGCAAACUCUAUGAGAAAACUAAUUCUCCAUAAGAAAACGUAUCCAAGUGUGUGUUGAAAUCAACCGGGGAUAUAUCGAACAUAUGUUGUAGAGAUAGUGUCUUACUAACAAAAACAUGUCGUAACUACGAAACGAAUAGUUUUUUGACCCAUGUCCGUUAAGACAUGUUUGUUUGUUUUAACGAGUACUGCCUGCAUGAUUCGGUUAAUUUGUCUCCAACACUCUGUGUGUCUCGAAAUAUCUGCAGUUUUAGAACACGCUGAAUGAAAUUUUGAAAAAUCCUCACUAUGUUCGAACGAAACAUUUUUCUACUUUUUACUUUACAGAAAAUUGAUUACUUUUAUCGAAGGAGAUUGAAAGUUUGAAGAAAAUCAAAAGUAAGGAUUUCUCAGAAAAUAAGGAGUUCCAGGGACAGACGAUUCAUUCGCUCUAAGAAAUUUUUAAUUUCCACUGUAAACUAGUUUAUCGAAAUCUUUUGUUUAAUAAAUCAGUAAAAGUUGAGUAAAGUAACAAAUUUUUCCUUUCCGAAGUCAUAAUGUAGGUUAUUGAAAUAUUAAGAUACAAUUUCUACCAAAGAAACGAAGAUGGAAGGUAGAAAAUGGAAAAAAUACGUAACGAAGCGUUUAUUCGUAAAGUUUACAAGAAAUCAUUAGAAACACCAAAACCUGAGAACGUUUGCAACUUUCCGAAAUUUCUACGGAAGAAGAAACUAUCUGUGGUGGCUUUGAUAUUAACGAUGUCUUCUACGUGAAGUUUCCAUUCCUGGCUCCUGCUGACUCCGCUGGAAGAGCGUUGAAUAACCGUCACAGUUAUUUUUAAAAGACGAUAACUGUAAUAAGAGGUAGAAUAAGUGGCUGUAUUACACCGUUUAGAUUGAAUUUGGACAAGUACGAGGAUGUCGAUGGAUGUUUUCAAGAGUAAACGAAGUGAAAGAUGGUUGAUAAUAAGGGUGACUCGAGUGGAUAUUUUCUUGGCAAUUUUUACCAAUGAAAAUUCCGAUAUUCAACUAGAAUAACAAGAUAAAAGGAAGAUUCAAUUAAAAUAUGCAAACGUUUCUUAGAAUUUCUGGAAAAUUCAUAUUAAUUAAAGAAAUAACAUAUCGCUGUAAAAAUGUUGUUAUCUCUUACACAUGUAUACAGGGUGUCUCAGCUAAAUUAGAUCGUCUAAAUAUUUGCUUUAAUUACGAUCGUAUAAAAAAUCCUUCCCGAUAAAAGGAAGAUUCAAUUAAAAUAUGCAAACGUUUCUUAGAACUUCUAGAAAAUUCGUAUUAAUUAGAGAAAUAACGCAUCGUUGCAAAAAUGUUAUUAUCUUGUGUACAUGUAUAGUGCGAGACUCAACUAAAUGAGAUCACCUAAAUAUUUGUCUUAUUUACGAUUGUAUGAAAAAUCUUCUCAGGACAAAUUUGAACUGUUUCAAGGGAUGCAUAUAAUGACGGAAAGAAGUUUUUCUCAAGUAUACUGUAUCUUUCGUAGAAGAUGUAAAAAUUUCAAAGUUUUGAUCUAUGAAACAACAUACACAUUUCAAUG